AGAGCGAGAGAGAGAGAGAGAGAGAGAGAGAGAGGGAAAGUGAGAGAGAAGGGUUGGGCGAUGGGGCGAUCCAAAGUGUGGUUCACUUGAAAAACGUAACUUAGUGUAAUGGGGCAGAGGUCAGCACGACGGGAAGUUAGAUAGAAUUAAAGAUAAUGAUCAAGAUACCGCUAUUCGAUUCCAGGUACUUAACGCAAACAAAACAAUUGUUGAAUUAUAUACAUAUAUAUUAAAUACACUAUGAAAGUACAGAGACGGGAAUAGACCGUUAAAUAUACGCUACGCAUAAAGUAAA